UGAUGAUGAUGAUGAUGAUGAUGAUGAUGAUGAUGAUGAUGCAUCUUCUAGUAAAUCUAUUGAAGAGAAAGAAGCAGCCGAGUUUGCUGAAUCUUCCAUGGAGGAUUCAACAGAUGUUGAUUCAUACUCACAAGCAUCAUCAUCAUCACCAUCCAUG
rnacentral:pre_miRNA from 1 species